GAACUGAAGACUUCAUGUGUGUGCCUUAUCUUAUUUAAUCCUCGCAAUGACUCUAUAAGGUAAUAGGAACAACCUGAGAUUUUUGAAGACUUGUGUGAAACACUAACGAAGAACUUGCAGCCUCUGAAAAGAACUAUAGAAGAGCAUUGUGGGCCCAGAUUCUCAGCAGAUAUUGUUGAACAAAACAGAAUUUUAUCCACUUG
rnacentral:lncRNA from 10 species